UACGUAGGGUGCGAGCGUUGUCCGGAAUUAUUGGGCGUAAAGAGCUCGUAGGCGGUCUGUCGCGUCGAUCGUGAAAACUUGGGGCUUAACCCUGAGCUUGCGGUCGAUACGGGCAUGACUGGAGUCCGGUAGGGGAGACUGGAAUUCCUGGUGUAGCGGUGAAAUGCGCAGAUAUCAGGAGGAACACCGGUGGCGAAGGCGGGUCUCUGGGCCGGUACUGACGCUAAGGAGCGAAAGCGUGGGGAGCGAACAGG
rnacentral:rRNA from 1 species